CACGGCAGGGUCAGGACGAGGCGAGGAGUGAAUUCCGGGGCAGACAGCUGGGCCAAGAUGGAGCGUGAGGGUGGUCACCACGAAGAACUUCCCGGCGGGUUACGUACGGAGACGGCGCCGUUCUCGCCCCGGCGGGGCCGGAGGCUCAGACUUCUGCUAAACAGAUCUCGGUCUCCUCGGGACAGAGCCGGGAGCACCGACCCAGGUUACCGGCAGUGGGCCCGGAUUCGCUGUAAAGGCACGUGGCAAACUCUAGGCUGACCACCAAAAAUUUUUUCCAAGAGAUGUUGUUGAUACGCUUGAAAGGGAUACAGGUGUGUUUGGGGUGCCGGGGGCCCCAGGGUGGCGCCACCCUGGGGGGCCCGGCACACGAGGGACAGGGCCGUGGACGCUGGAGCAGAGACACGGGAGCAGGGAGGGAAGGACGGGGAGACGGGGCUGCAGCCGGUCCAGGGAACAAACACCUUCUGUCUCUGUCCUGCCAGCACUGCCACCAGGGCAGGGGCCCCCGACUCAGCUCGUCAGCUCUGGGGCCGAGCAGGACGGUGAGGCUGGAGACUGGGACGUCCAGACAGAAGUUCCAGGACAAGUACAGGCGAGUGGCCUGCGCCUGUCCUGAGCCCUCGGGGAGGCUGGACCUGUCCUUGGAGGCUGUUCUCUGGGUCUGGGUCUAGCCCCUGGGGUGUUCAGUUACUGCCCUUGUAACCGCCUUGGACAGAUUGUCUGCCCGCCCCCCCCCCCCAGCAGCGUUGUGCUCUGUCUCCCACCCCUAGCCCCGGGGGGAACGAUGGUGUGCUCUGUCCCGUCCCCCACCCCCACCCCGCCCCCACCCUGGGAACGGCAGUGUGCAAACAGCCAGCCCU